GUCCACGCCGUAAACGAUGAGUGCUAAGUGUUAGAGGGUUUCCGCCCUUUAGUGCUGCAGCUAACGCAUUAAGCACUCCGCCUGGGGAGUACGGCCGCAAGGCUGAAACUCAAAGGAAUUGACGGGGGCCCGCACAAGCGGUGGAGCAUGUGGUUUAAUUCGAAGCAACGCGAAGAACCUUACCAGGUCUUGACAUCCUCUGACAACCCUAGAGAUAGGGCUUUCCCCUUCGGGGGACAGAGUGACAGGUGGUGCAUGGUUGUCGNCAGCUCGUGUCGUGAGAUGUUGGGUUAAGUCCCGCAACGAGCGCAACCCUUGAUCUUAGUUGCCAGCAUUCAGUUGGGCACUCUUAGGGUGACUUGCCGGUGAAAAACCCGAGGA
rnacentral:rRNA from 1 species